rnacentral:rRNA from 1 species
CAAUAGCGUAUAUUAAAGUUGUUGCGGUUAAAAAGCUCGUAGUUGGAUCUCGGCGAGCAGGGGGCGGUUCGAUGUUCGUCGUUACUGCCCCAUUUGCUCGUGUGAUUGGCGGAGGCUGCGGGGUGCUCUUCGUUGAGUGUCCCGUGGUGCCGUCGGGUUUACUUUGAAAAAAUUAGAGUGCUCAAAGCAGGCUUCACACGCUUGAAUAUUCGUGCAUGGAAUAAUGGAAUAGGAACUCGUUUCUAUUUUGUUGGUUUUCGGAAAUUGAGUUAAUGAUUAAUAGGGACAAGUGGGGGCAUUAGUAUUCAGACGACAGAGGUGAAAUUCUUGGACCGUCUGAAGACUAACUACUGCGAAAGCAUUUGCCAAGAGUGUUUUCAUUAA